GCAUUCCUGCCUGACACACCUAGAAGCUGCUGGUAAUCAGCUCACCUCUGUGCAACUGGUUCCUUUACAGCUGACGAAAUCCCUCACUUCUGGGAAAAGGAGUAUAACCUGGAAUAUUAAGGGAGACAUGGAGCAAACAAGAGGAGACAGGCUGAGGAGACAAGGAUGAAACACAAGGAGAGGAACAAAGGAACAGGAACCAGAACCGAUGGACUGGACUGCUUACGGUGAACAACCAGUUCCUGGCCGUGCCGCUGGACCAUCUGUCUCCUCCAUGGAUGACGACGUCACCCCAAUGGAGAUAGACUAAAAGGUUCAGCAUACCAAAAGUGAAAGAAGAGGAUGACAAUCAUAACAUUUCUACUUGGGCAAUUACAGUUGAUCCUGCAACAAUUUGGGUUUUGUUUUUGUUUUUUUAGAUAAUUUUGUAAAUUUCAUUUCUCAAACCCUAAGCUGCUGUAAUCAAGUGUUACUAUAAAAGCAAGUAGAAGUCAAUUUUUUUUUUAAUGCAGCAGCUAAUUUCUUCCUGUUGGCUUUCACUGCAUGUUUGCCUCUGCUGUAUUUCCUGUCUACUCUUCAAACAUUUCUCUAAUUUGCAUAUAAAUGUUAUGUUCCAAAGUUUGAGUAUAGAGUAAAUAACAUUUGUGAUAAUUUUAGCUAUAUAUAUCAAAUAGUUUGCAAGAUAGUUUAUUAAAAAGGCAGUCAACCCACUUUAAUGCCAUUUUUCCUGCAGAUAAUGAAAUGUGAGGCAAUGUUUGAACAUGACUAUCUCAAAAACUAUUACAGAUAAAUGCCUGAUGAACAACUUUUUACUGUUUCAUUGUCAUAAAAAAAAUCUGGAUUUUAAAUUUGGUCUGGAUACAUGAAAAAGUUAUGAAAUUUAAGCAGCCUAUUUCAGUACACACUAAUAAAAAAUACAUUGGAACAAUUAGAAGAAGACAGUGACAAUUUCUGAAUUAUAUGUAGUUGAAUUUACUGCAAAAUAAAGCAAAUAUCUGAAAAAUAAUCACUGGGGAAACAUGCAUAUAUUUUACAUCACAUCUAGAAUUGUUAUAACAAUGAGU